rnacentral:rRNA from 1 species
CCUACGGGGGGCUGCAGUGGGGAAUAUUGCACAAUGGGCGCAAGCCUGAUGCAGCCAUGCCGCGUGUGUGAAGAAGGCCUUCGGGUUGUAAAGCACUUUCAGCGGGGAGGAAGGCGGUGAGGUUAAUAACCUCAUCGAUUGACGUUACCCGCAGAAGAAGCACCGGCUAACUCCGUGCCAGCAGCCGCGGUAAUACGGAGGGUGCAAGCGUUAAUCGGAAUGACUGGGCGUAAAGCGCACGCAGGCGGUCUGUCAAGUCGGAUGUGAAAUCCCCGGGCUCAACCUGGGAACUGCGUUCGAAACUGGCAGGCUAGAGUCUUGUAGAGGGGGGUAGAAUUCCAGGUGUAGCGGUGAAAUGCGUAGAGAUCUGGAGGAAUACCGGUGGCGAAGGCGGCCCCCUGGACAAAGACUGACGCUCAGGUGCGAAAGCGUGGGGAGCAAACAGGAUUAGAUACCCGGGUAGUC